rnacentral:rRNA from 1 species
AAACUCCUACGGGAGGCAGCAGUGAGGAAUAUUGGUCAAUGGCCGAGAGGCUGAACCAGCCAAGUCGCGUGAAGGAAGAAGGAUCUAUGGUUUGUAAACUUCUUUUAUAGGGGAAUAAAGUGGAGGACGUGUCCUUUUUUGUAUGUACCCUAUGAAUAAGCAUCGGCUAACUCCGUGCCAGCAGCCGCGGUAAUACGGAGGAUGCGAGCGUUAUCCGGAUUUAUUGGGUUUAAAGGGUGCGUAGGUGGUGAUUUAAGUCAGCGGUGAAAGUUUGUGGCUCAACCAUAAAAUUGCCGUUGAAACUGGGUUACUUGAGUGUGUUUGAGGUAGGCGGAAUGCGUGGUGUAGCGGUGAAAUGCAUAGAUAUCACGCAGAACUCCGAUUGCGAAGGCAGCUUACUAAACCAUAACUGACACUGAAGCACGAAAGCGUGGGGAUCAAACAGGAUUAGAUACCCUGGUAGUCCACGCAGUAAACGAUGAUUACUAGGAGUUUGCGAUACAAUGUAAGCUCUACAGCGAAAGCGUUAAGUAAUCCACCUGGGGAGUACGCCGGCAACGGUGAAACUCAAAGGAAUUGACGGGGGCCCGCACAAGCGGAGGAACAUGUGGUUUAAUUCGAUGAUACGCGAGGAACCUUACCCGGGUUUGAACGUAGUCUGACCGGAGUGGAAACACUCUUUCUAGCAAUAGCAGAUUACGAGGUGCUGCAUGGUUGUCGUCAGCUCGUGCCGUGAGGUGUCGGCUUAAGUGCCAUAACGAGCGCAACCCUUAUCACUAGUUACUAACAGGUGAAGCUGAGGACUCUGGUGAGACUGCCAGCGUAAGCUGUGAGGAAGGUGGGGAUGACGUCAAAUCAGCACGGCCCUUACAUCCGGGGCGACACACGUGUUACAAUGGCAUGGACAAAGGGCAGCUACCUGGUGACAGGAUGCUAAUCUCCAAACCAUGUCUCAGUUCGGAUCGGAGUCUGCAACUCGACUCCGUGAAGCUGGAUUCGCUAGUAAUCGCGCAUCAGCC